UAACUGUCUCUCUUUUUAUUUUUUGUGAACUUAUUUAAGUAAGUGAAAAGACUUACAGUUUUUAAAUUAGACGAGAAGACCCUAAGAAUUUAAAUUAAAAGAACUCAAAUGUUUUUAAAUUUUUGUUGGGGCAACAAAGGUUCAAUUUAAUAACUUUUGUUAUUAUUUUAAGAUCACAUGCCGAAAGAUAUUAUGAAAGUAUAAAUUACCUUAGGGAUAACAGCAUAAUUAUUUAUUUUAGUUUGUGACCUCGAUGUUGGACUAG
rnacentral:rRNA from 1 species